rnacentral:rRNA from 1 species
UCCGCAAUCGUCCGCGGAGGACAUU